CUCUUUACUUUCUAGUCUUUGACGCAAGUUGUGUCUGAAGCCAUUAGGCCGAGAAUACGUCUACCUGGGCAUCACACAUCGUGUCACACCCUACCCCACGUGAAUCGCCAGGCGGUUGGGGAUGGAUACUGGCCUCCCGUGUGCUUCGGCAUGUGGCUGGCCUAAAUGGGAUCCCUAGGCGACUGGCGUCACGACAAGUGGUGGUUGAACAUCUUAAUCUCCUCAUGGUCAUGUUGCCAUAUCGUCCCAUACAAGAAUCAUAAAUGACCCAAUGGUGCAUGGCGCAAAUAGUGUCUCACUUUUGACUGUGACCCCAGGUCAGGCGGGAUUACCCAUUUAGUUUAAGCAUAUCAAUAAGCGGAGGAAAA
rnacentral:sRNA from 1 species